UACUUAUUUCUCAGUCUGUAUAUAUAAAAUAAACUAAUUUACAUUUGAGCUACGAACCAACAAAAUAAAAACAAGAGAGAGAGAUUCAAAAACUAGGCAAUUUGUGACAUCAUUAUGGGGAAGUGGAUUAUUUUGGUGGUUGCCAUGGCAGCAACAGUGAUGACGGCUACGGCACAAAAUUCAACAAGCAUGUUCGGAGAUUUGCCAAAGGGCAAUUACAACACAUCUGAUGUCGCGCCAGGAAGCAGUGGAAGCAUGCAGGGACUGUUUGACAUGGCUCAGGGAUUCGUCAAUGUUGUGUUCAGACCCUUCUCAGAGUUGGCAGAUUUCAUCAUAAAAGUCUUUGCUUCUGACAGUGGGGCGUUGGACUAUCUGCAAGGAAAUUGGCAAGAUGCAGCAAGUUUUGAAGCCGGUUACAUUGCAUGUCUCGUGUUCGGAGUGUUGUUCAUCGUUUUUGUACCGCUCGUUGGCUCCUUCAUGUGUUGCUGUCGGUGUUGUUGCAACAAUUGUGGCGGUCGUCUCGAACAAUCUACGAAGCGUAGCAAGAGCUGUUGGCGACAAUGCUAUUGUGUCACAAUGCUGAUUCUAACGACUUUCAUGGCGGUUCCCACUGUCUUUGUGUUCCUAACAAAUGAAUGGAUAACGGACGUAGUCGACACAGCGCCGGUGAAAAUGACAACGUUACUUGGCGAUACAUCUGAAUAUUUGAAAUUGGUCCCCAGGCAAAUCCAGUACAUCUCAGACGAAUAUGCGACUGUCGAUAACAAUGUGCGCCCUCUUGUGGAAGAUUUUGGCGUCAGUGUCGGCGUUCCUCUACAAGCUGAAAUUGAGAUGAUUGCUCAACCAACUUUGGAUGAAAUGGAUAAAGCUAUCCAAGAGGUUGACAAAUCACUCGCUGCUAUUAACGCCGUUACCAAUUCGCUCGGAGCAUUAUCGACUGGUAUGGACACUGUCGAUAAAAGCCUGACUGAUCUUCAGACUAAAAUGGAAACGCAAUUGAACGUUUCAACCUGUACCAAUGACACCCAUUGUAGAGCGGUUUAUGAGAGCAGAACUAAUUUGACUGUCGGAUUUAAUGUGACGGACCUGGAUGAUUUAACAAAUGAGUUGGACGGCGUCAACGAUCAGCUAUCUGGCUACAAUCUCACAGAAUUGCAACAGAACGUCACAAAUGAGAUAAAUAACAUUCCAAGUACAACUACAGAUCAGACCAAGGCAGCCAGUGAAAGUGCAGUAAGCGCUUUGGAUGAAGCGAAUUCGACGAUGGCCGACAUAUCGUCCAACCUUCCCACGGAUAAAUUUGACGAAAUUGAUCAACAGGUUGUCAACCUACAGACCACGAUUACCGACGCUUUCAACGUCUAUGAUGAUAAUUUUGAUCAGUAUAGGUACAUCGCAGGCAUUGUGCUUGGAUGUAUGCUGGCUUGGAUCGUCUUCUGUUACUUGCUGGGAAUGGUGUUGGGAGUUUGUGGAAACAGUCGUGAUGUCGCUCCUUCACAGAGAGGCUGUGCGUCUAACUGUGGUGGAAUAAUGCUCAUGGUUGGCGUUGGAUUCUCGUUCAUUUUCUCUUGGUUGUUGAUGAUUCUUGUCGUUGUGAUGUUCACUAUCGGAGGACACGGGGAACGCUACGGAUGUCAGGGGCUGGAGAAACCAAAAUAUGAAGCCUUGCUGGUUGUCGAAAACGUAUCCGGAAUAAAUCUCGAAAGCACUCUCGGUCUGCCAGAAGGUGUCAGUCUUGGGCUGGUUGACAUUUUGAAUUCUUGUGAAAAUGACGCUUCUGCGUACGAAACUUUUAAGUUGGAAUAUGUCCUGAACAUCACAGAAUACCUAACAAAUGUUACGUCACAAACGGAUGAACUACAAGCGGAAGUCGACAAGGCUACAAAUGACAUCGAUCUAUCCGAAAUAGUGAUCUACACCGAAGAAAACCAGGAGAAUUUGUUAGGCUUGAUGGAGUCGGGACUUGACAACAUUGAUUUCAACGAUUAUUUGGGAAAGUCAGAGCUUGGAGACGGCAUCACUAAAGUCGACUUGACAACUUACGCUGCAUUCUUGAGGGCUCAGGCGGCAAAGUUCACUGGAGCAGUUGAGACUCAGUUCGAAUCUCUUGUUCUUGGCUAUGCUGACGAGGUUGAUCGGAUUCAGACAGACGAGGUUGGAGCAAUCCAAAAUGACUAUGAUACAUUAAACAGCAGCAUUAUAUUCCUGGGAGAACAAUCUGUUGUGUUAAAUGAUACCAUCCUAGUUUUGAACGAUGAGUUGACUGCGUUGAACGGAACCAUCCAGUACCAGGGAGCGGAGAUUGUUGGGAACAUUGCGGGGAACAUUACUGAUCAGGUCAUUGGGAACGUUACUGCGUACACUGACUGGGCAGGACAACAGGUUACUGAUAAUCUUGGAGCUUGCAAACCUGUCUACGAUGGCUAUGACGGGGUCGUGAUUCUGUUCUGCGACUACUUGAUUGAUACAAUAAACGGUCUCUGGUUCUCUCUCGGUUGGUGUGUAUUCUUUCUCAUCCCGAGUGCAAUCGUCGCGAUGAAACUCAUGAAGUUCUUCAGGAAAAUGGUGAUAGAAGAACAAUAUGAGGAAGUAAUGAUUGAGGAACACACCCACUUUUGAGCUUUGGUAUCAGUGGAAAGACCUACAUACGCAGAGAAUACUCGUUCAUGGGAUGACAUGGAAAUGAGAGAUUACGGAUCGCCAUCCAACAAUAAAGUGAACAAUGGAUACUACUAACAGUUUCGGAAAGAACCCCACCCCCCAAAAAAAAAAAUUUGUUUCCCUUUUUUUUAGAAAGUAACUAUGCUCGUUGUAAAUGUACAUUUAUCAUAGGAUAACACGCGAUCAUACAUGGCCCAAGUUUAUGUACUUAAGUUACUGUUGAAAAUCAGUAAAAUAUCUUGAAUUGCCUGAAGUAAUAUUUGCAUCCCAUAAAUAUUUGGAAAAAUAGAAAACUAUGAAAAAUCAAACUCAUAUUUAGUCCUUGGUUUGUCAGAAUUGCUUGCAACUUUUAUUAAAUAAAUUUUGAUUAAAUUUAGAUAAAACUUAAGAUUAGCCUUUGAGUCUUAAACUGAGUAAAAUUUAUAUCAAGCGUCUCAUACAAAAACAAAAAAUCUAGUCCCUGUCCAGUGGUUCCUCUUAACCGGAGGAAAAAAAUUUUGGCAUCAAAUUGAAACUAGCUCCUAUUCAUGAGUAAAAGGUAUAUGAAACGUCUCGUACAAAAACGAGCAUAAAAUUCUAGAAA